AAGUCGUAACAAGGUUUCCGUAGGUGAACCUGCGGAAGGAUCAUUAAAAGAUAUGGCAUAUUCCAUGUGGAUAUACCCAAUCAACCCAUUCUGAGUACCUUACCUGUUGCUUCCACACAGUGUCAGUGCAUUAGUACUGACAUUCAGACGAUAGUGAAAACUUAUCCGAUGGAGAUGUGUGGAGGAUAUACAUUAAACUCUUGCAUUACCAUGUAUUCUGUCUGAUUAUGUUUAAUAUAAACUAUUAAAACUUUCAACAACGGAUCUCUUGGUUCUC
rnacentral:misc_RNA from 1 species